rnacentral:rRNA from 1 species
GACGAACGCUGGCGGCGUGCUUUACACAUGCAAGUCGAACGGUGAAGGUGGAGCUUGCUCCGCCGGAUCAGUGGCGAACGGGUGAGUAACACGUGGGCAACCUGCCCCUAACUUUGGGAUAACUACUCGAAAGAGUAGCUAAUACCGGAUAUGAAGUCUGUAGGCAUCUAUGGAUUUGGAAAGUUUUUCGGUUAGGGAUGGGCCCGCGGCCUAUCAGCUUGUUGGUGAGGUAGUGGCUCACCAAGGCGACGACGGGUAGCCGGCCUGAGAGGGCGACCGGCAGCACUGGGACUGAGACACGGCCCAGACUCCUACGGGAGGCAGCAGUGGGGAAUAUUGCGCAAUGGGCGAAAGCCUGACGCAGCAACGCCGCGUGCGGGAUGAAGGCCUUCGGGUUGUAAGCCGCUUUCAGCAGGGAAGAAGCGAAAGUGACGGUACCUGCAGAAGAAGCACCGGCUAACUACGUGCCAGCAGCCGCCGUAA